rnacentral:rRNA from 1 species
AUGGCCGCAUGGGAAUCUGGAGUUGACCUGAAGAAUCUCUCAACUCAUGGCAGCUACAUCCUCAGCUCUCAUUUUGACAAGUCCACGUAUAAUACCGUGCUAUCAUUUCUUGGUGUUAAAAGUGUGAGCACCGAGUGGUACGUCAAAUGCAUCGAGGGCUCUAAUCUUGUCAAGGAGGUAAAUGAACAGAUUUAUCUCGAGGUUUUAUCCUUUGUCGCCGACAAUUGGCAGAACUGUUUCUCCGGUACAAAAAUGAUGUCUAUUCCCCUGCUGAAGUAUGUUGAUCGGAACAAUGCUAUCUCUUUCUGGAGCAUUUCUAAAGCUACUCAACUGAGUGACAGAUUGUGCAUUGCAUCUGAGAAGAAGUGCAUACCUAGCUCUUGGUUUUCCUGA